rnacentral:misc_RNA from 1 species
AAGUCGUAACAAGGUUUCCGUAGGUGAACCUGCGGAAGGAUCAUUAUUGAAUUCCAAUCGGGUGAGGUUGUGCUGGCUCUCUCGGGAGCAUGUGCACACCUUGCUCAUUAAUACCUUCCACCUCUGUGCACUUUUCAUAGGAUGGCUUGUUGGCUGUUGAUCUUGUAUCAAUGGCUGCAGUUGUUCUGUGUUUUACAAACCUUGAAAUCAGUUUAGAAUGUUUUUUGUGUGUAUACACAUUUUAAUACAACUUUCAGCAACGGAUCUCUUGGCUCUC